rnacentral:antisense_RNA from 1 species
CUUCAACGACCCCAGCCACACCGGCCGGUCGGCCGGCCGCUCUUGUCCAUAAGUCGACAAGAGCGCUUGUGCCUC